rnacentral:rRNA from 1 species
GACGAACGCUGGCGGCGUGCCUAAUACAUGCAAGUAGAACGCUGAAGGAGGAGCUUGCUUCUCUGGAUGAGUUGCGAACGGGUGAGUAACGCGUAGGUAACCUGCCUGGUAGCGGGGGAUAACUAUUGGAAACGAUAGCUAAUACCGCAUAAGAGUAGAUGUUGCAUGACAUUUGCUUAAAAGGUGCAAUUGCAUCACUACCAGAUGGACCUGCGUUGUAUUAGCUAGUUGGUGGGGUAACGGCUCACCAAGGCGACGAUACAUAGCCGACCUGAGAGGGUGAUCGGCCACACUGGGACUGAGACACGGCCCAGACUCCUACGGGAGGCAGCAGUAGGGAAUCUUCGGCAAUGGACGGAAGUCUGACCGAGCAACGCCGCGUGAGUGAAGAAGGUUUUCGGAUCGUAAAGAUCGGUUGUAAGAGAAGAACGAGUGUGAGAGUGGAAAGUUCACACUGUGACGGUAUCUUACCAGAAAGGGACGGCUAACUACGUG